rnacentral:lncRNA from 1 species
GGGUACACAGUUUGUUUCUUGUUCUUUUAAAACACUUAUGGACAGGAAAAUAUGUUUUAACACUGAAAUUUCCAGUGUUACCAUCAAUACUUCCAAGAAUAUGCCAAGGACAACCUUUUUUAUUACACUUUGCCCUUAUCCUUUCCUUCUCAUUAGGUUUCAACUUAAUAUUAACACCCUUCUGAAUAGAGUAAGUUUGCAGUGCCUCCCUGAACUCUAUGUGAUUCAAAAAUACCAUAUACAGUUGAAAUAAAACCUUUUUAGCAGUUGGAUCAAAGUAGAUCUUUGUACUUUCCUUCCUAGGUGCUGGAUCUACCACUUCAUCAUUCUCAACAGGAUCCCCUUCAUCUUCACUAAUGUCACUACCAGGAUCUGAGCUAUCAAAAUAAGGGUCAUCACCACCCAAAUUGCCUUCAAAUCUCCCCCUCUUCUCCUUAUAAAUGUCUUCAAAACCAGCAUCUAUACCUACAGGACCAGAUGGUAUCUCAUCUAGAUUUACUCUAGCAGUCUUUUCUUUAACUUGUUCUUGAAUAUUAGACUGCCUAGCUUGAAGCAACUCCUCAUCCAAA